rnacentral:rRNA from 1 species
AUGAACGCUGGCGGCGUGCCUAAUACAUGCAAGUCGAGCGAACGGACGAGAAGCUUGCUUCUCUGAUGUUAGCGGCGGCCGGGUGAGUAACACGUGGAUAACCUACCUAUAAGACUGGGAUAACUUCGGGAAACCGUAGCUAAUACCGGAUAAUAUUUUGAACCGCAUGGUUCAAAAGUGAAAGACGGUCUUGCUGUCACUUAUAGAUGGAUCCGCGCUGCAUUAGCUAGUUGGUAAGGUAACGGCUUACCAAGGCAACGAUGCAUAGCCGACCUGAGAGGGUGAUCGGCCACACUGGAACUGAGACACGGUCCAGACUCCUACGGGAGGCAGCAGUAGGGAAUCUUCCGCAAUGGGCGAAAGCCUGACGGAGCAACGCCGCGUGAGUGAUGAAGGUCUUCGGAUCGUAAAACUCUGUUAUUAGGGAAGAACAUAUGUGUAAGUAACUGUGCACAUCUUGACGGUACCUAAUCAGAAAGCCACGGCUAACUACGUG